rnacentral:tRNA from 1 species
GGGAUUGUGGCUCAGCGGUAGAGCGCUCACCUAGCAUGUGUGAAGCCAUGGGUUCAAUCCUCAGCAUCACA